rnacentral:rRNA from 1 species
CAGCGUAAAGCGUAGUUAAGACACAAGAAUUAAUAGGGUCGAAUAACCUCAAGACAGUAAAAUGUGUAUGAGGCCCCUAAGCACCUCUAUGAAAAUAACCCUAAUCUAUCUGACUCUACGAAAGCUAUUACACAAACUGGGAUUAGAUACCCCACUAUGCUUAGCCGUUAAAAUUAAUGGUACCUCACUCGAACCAUUCGCCUGGAAAUUACGAGCUCAAGCUUAAAACCCAAAGGACCUGGCGAUGCUUUAGAUCCCCCUAGAGGAGCCUGUUCUGUAACUGACAACCCCCGGUAAACCUCACCACCCCUUGCCAGACUCCGCUUAUAUACCACCGUCGCAAGCUCACCCUUUUGAAGGUCUCAAAGUGAGCUAAUACAGUACUUCUGCUAACGUCAGGUCGAGGUGUAGCGUAUGGGGUGGGAAGUAAUGGGCUACAUUCUCUAAAGAAGAGAAUACGAAUGGUAGUUUGAAAAAACUGCACUGAAGGAGGAUUUAGAAGUAAGAAAGGAACAGAGUGCCCUACUGAACAAUGGCCCUAAAGCACGUACAAACCGCCCGUCACUCUCCCCACAAUUUCUUCACAUAAUACUAAUCAAAGUAACUUUUGUAAGGUGAGACAAGUCGUAACAUGGUAAGUGUACCGGAA